GAGUUUGAUCAUGGCUCAGGACGAACGCUGGCGGCGUGCUUAACACAUGCAAGUCGAGCGGUAAGGCUCCUUCGGGAGUACACGAGCGGCGAACGGGUGAGUAACACGUGAGCAAUCUGCCCUUCACAUCGGGAUAACUUCGGGAAACCGAAGCUAAUACCGAAUACGACCACCGAUGGCAUCUUCUGGUGGUGGAAAGUUCCGGCGGUGAAGGAUGAGCUCGCGGCCUAUCAGCUUGUUGGUGGGGUAAUGGCCUACCAAGGCGACGACGGGUAGCCGGCCUGAGAGGGUGACCGGCCACACUGGGACUGAGACACGGCCCAGACUCCUACGGGAGGCAGCAGUGGGGAAUAUUGGACAAUGGGCGAAAGCCUGAUCCAGCAACGCCGCGUGAGGGAUGACGGCC
rnacentral:rRNA from 1 species